AAGUGACUUCUGGUCAUUUUAGGUAUGAAUGAAGAGACACCAUUGAAGUGAGAGAUCUUGGACUUGGGCUCUUCCCAGAUUUCUGAGGGAAAGGGUGCUAAUGGGGCAAAAGAAUUUAAAUACAUAAAAGGAAUUGAAUCCAAGAGAAAUGAAGAAGAAAAGCUGAAGGCAGAAGACAUGUAAAUAAGAUGUAAACACACAGGUACUGUUUCUUUGAAAUAUAUUGACAUAAAAUCUCCCUUUUUAUACU
rnacentral:lncRNA from 1 species